rnacentral:lncRNA from 1 species
ACCCGUCUAUCUUCUUCCAUCACAAGGUGAGCUUUUUUGUGCAUGUUUUUUUUCAACCAAGGUGACUCACCACGGUUGUGGUCUUCGAGUACUUGUGCAGACACCCAUAAGUAUUUGAUGGUGGUUUCUCGCCCUACCUUGCUUGUCAUUAUUGUAUUUUUUUUAGGAACAGUACAAACACAGAACCUCACAACACGCGCGUACACUCAUCCCUACGAACGCACACACGCACAGACUACCCCUAUGAGCACCUUCAAAAGACUAAGCCG